AAAAAGACAAAUUAUGAAUUUUCGUGUUCAACUUUGACUGUCCGUCUUAUAUGAAAUUUUUUUAUAAUUCGUAUUUUUAUUGUUGUUAGAUGAUAAAACAUGAUUAAUAUUUUAUGCGUGAAUUGUCUUUUUAUUUUUUUUCAAAUAAGACAGACAGUCAAACGUUGGGCACGGAAACCAAGGCUUGUCUUUUU
rfam:Oryza barthii chromosome 3, whole genome shotgun sequence.